rnacentral:rRNA from 1 species
GAGUUUGAUCAUGGCUCAGGAUGAACGCUGGCGGCAUGCCUAACACAUGCAAGUUGAACGAGAAAUUUUGGAGGGAGUCUUCGGACGAACGAAGGAAUGGAAAGUAGCGAACGGGUGAGUAACGCGUGGGCAACCAACCUUACACAGGGGGAUAACACAGAGAAACCUGUGCUAAUACCGCAUAAGCGCACAGUAUCACAUGAUACGGUGUGAAAAACUCCGGUGGUGUAAGACGGGCCCGCGUCUGAUUAGCUAGUUGGUGGGGUAAGAGCCUACCAAGGCGACGAUCAGUAGCCGACCUGAGAGGGUGAUCGGCCACAUUGGGACUGAGACACGGCCCAAACUCCUACGGGAGGCAGCAGUGGGGGAUAUUGCACAAUGGAGGGAACUCUGAUGCAGCAAUGCCGCGUGAAGGAAGACGGUUUUCGGAUUGUAAACUUCUAUCAGCAGGGAAGAAAAUGACGUACCUGACUAAGAGCCCC